GACGAACGCUGGCGGCGUGCCUAAUACAUGCACGUAGAACGCAGUUGCGAAAGGGUGCGUCACGCGUAGGUAACUGCCUGGUAGCGGUGCGUAACUAAUGGUAACGAUAGCUAAUACCGCGUACUACAAGAUGGCCCUGCGUUGUAUUGGCUGGUUGGUGGGGUAACGGCGCACCAAGGCAACGAUACAUAGCCGACCUGAGAGGGGGAUCGGCACCACUGGGAAUCAGACACGGCCCAGACUCCUACGGGAGGCAGCAGUAGGGAAUCUUCGGCAAUGGACGGAAGUCUGACCGAGCAACGCCGCGUGAGUGAAGAAGGUUUUCGGAUCGUAAAGCUCUGUUGUAAGAGAAGCGGUAUCUUACCAGAAAGGGACGGCUAACUACGUGCCAGCAGCCGCGGUAAUUC
rnacentral:rRNA from 1 species